AGCCUAAACCCCGCCUAGUGCGGGGCAUGGCAUCAAAAACCUUAUCAGAAGUAAGCUCUUCGUCAGAGCAUCUGAUAAGGUUGUAUACCGAAAGGUAUGCAGGUAGCGAAAGCUAUC
rnacentral:sRNA from 12 species